UGAGCAAUCUGCCCUUCUCAUCGGAAUAAGCGUUGGAAACGACGUCUAAUGCCGAAUACGACCUCCUUUCGCAUGAUCGGAGGUGGAAAGCUCCGGCGGAGAAGGAUGAGCUCGCGGCCUAUCAGCUAGUUGGUGAGGUAAUAGCUCACCAAGGCGACGACGGGUAGCCGGCCUGAGAGGGUGACCGGCCACACUGGGACUGAGACACGGCCCAGACUCCUAGGGAGG
rnacentral:rRNA from 1 species